AGAUCUCGUUGCGACGAGAGUAAAGCUGCAGCGCGAGAACUGAGAGGGAAUGUUCUCGCGAGACCCCGUCUCAGCUGCCUUUCUUCCUGAGGCUCCGCCCCCCAGUUACGUACAAGAGUGCGUCAAGCCCAGGCCCAAGAUACAGAGGAGCGACAGAGAAGCCGAAAGAUAGUUGGGAGGCGGAGCUGGUCACUGAGCCUGCGCACAGAACGCUCCGCAACACUCCCUGCAGCGGUGUCCAGUGGAGUCCUGUCCUACAUUCUGCAGUGGCUUCUGGAAUUAUCUGUUUCACAAACCCAAUUUCUCUCUCUUUAUGAAGUGGCUGCUCAGAGUUCUGAAUGCACAUGUUUCAAGCCCAGCCCUAUGCAGAGAUGAAAACUGAAGACCUUCAGUUCUACUAUAAAAUUGCCAGACGGAUGGACAGUGAUGGCGGAACUCUUACUACUUAUACCUCUUGUACAUCACUACCACAUGGUGUAUCAAACAUGGAGAGAAUAUACUCUAUCUUGAUUGAGGUGGUGGUUGCAUCUUCUGUGGUUUCGUGAGUGUAUACAUGUGUUAAAAUUCAUCAAAUUCAUAUGGUUUAAACCCUUGCAUUUUGUUGUUAGUAAAUUAUAUCUCAUCCUUUAAAAAUACUACAUACAAAGGCCUAG
ensembl:lncRNA